rnacentral:rRNA from 1 species
CCUACGGGUGGCUGCAGUGGGGAAUUUUGGACAAUGGGGGAAACCCUGAUCCAGCAAUGCCGCGUGCAGGAUGAAGGCCUUCGGGUUGUAAACUGCUUUUGUACGGAACGAAAAGGCUCUGGUUAAUACCUGGGGCUCAUGACGGUACCGUAAGAAUAAGCACCGGCUAACUACGUGCCAGCAGCCGCGGUAAUACGUAGGGUACUAGUGUUAAUCGGAAUUACUGGGCGUAAAGCGUGAGCCAGAGGUGAAAUCCCCGGGCUCAACCUGGGAACUGCCUUUGUGACUGCAUAGCUAGAGUACGGCAGAGGGGGAUGGAAUUCCGCGUGUAGCAGUGAAAUGCGUAGAUAUGCGGAGGAACACCGAUGGCGAAGGCAAUCCCCUGGGCCUGUACUGACGCUCAUGCACGAAAGCGUGGGGAGCAAACAGGAUUAGAUACCCGGGUAGUC